rnacentral:rRNA from 1 species
GGAAGCAGCUUGCUUCUUCGCUGACGAGUGGCGGACGGGUGAGUAAUGUCUGGGAAACUGCCUGAUGGAGGGGGAUAACUACUGGAAACGGUAGCUAAUACCGCAUAACGUCGCAAGACCAAAGAGGGGGACCUUCGGGCCUCUUGCCAUCGGAUGUGCCCAGAUGGGAUUAGCUUGUAGGUGGGGUAACGGCUCACCUAGGCGACGAUCCCUAGCUGGUCUGAGAGGAUGACCAGCCACACUGGAACUGAGACACGGUCCAGACUCCUACGGGAGGCAGCAGUGGGGAAUAUUGCACAAUGGGCGCAAGCCUGAUGCAGCCAUGCCGCGUGUAUGAAGAAGGCCUUCGGGUUGUAAAGUACUUUCAGCGGGGAGGAAGGGAGUAAAGUUAAUACCUUUGCUCAUUGACGUUACCCGCAGAAGAAGCACCGGCUAACUCCGUGCCAGCAGCCGCGGUAAUACGGAGGGUGCAAGCGUUAAUCGGAAUUACUGGGCGUAAAGCGCACGCAGGCGGUUUGUUAAGUCAGAUGUGAAAUCCCCGGGCUCAACCUGGGAACUGCAUCUAAUACUGGCAAGCUUGAGUCUCGUAGAGGGGGGUAGAAUUCCAGGUGUAGCGGUGAAAUGCGUAGAGAUCUGGAGGAAUACCGGUGGCGAAGGCGG